UGGUGGAUUCCAUCACAGGUGGGCUGUCUGUCUGUCUCCCGCUGUCCCUCUGUCCCCCCAUGUCCCUCUGUCCCUCCCAUGUCCCUCUGUGUCCCUGGUAUGUGUCUGUCCCUGGCAUCUGUCUGUCCCUGGUGUCUCUGUGUCCCACUAACUCCCGGUGUCCCUCUGUCCCUCCCUCUGUGUCUGUGUGUCCCCCCUUGACCCCCACUAUCCCCCAUUCCAGGGAUGAGCUCCCCGGAUUUCGACAGCCAGACGCUGGCGGUGCUGCGGGGGCGGAUGGUGCGGUACCUGAUGCGCUCCCGAGAGAUCACCCUGGGCAGGGCCACCAAGGACAACCAGAUCGACGUGGACCUGGCACUGGAGGGCCCGGCCUGGAAGAUCUCCCGCAAACAAGGGGUGAUCAAGCUGAAGAACAACGGCGACUUCUUCAUCGCCAACGAGGGCCGGCGCCCCAUUUACAUCGACGGCCGCCCCGUCCUGGGGGGCAACAAGUGGAAGCUCAACAACAACUCUGUGGUCGAGAUCGCCAGCCUGCGCUUCGUCUUCCUCAUCAACCAGGACCUCAUCGCCCUCAUCAAGGCCGAGGCGGCCAAGCUGGCCCAGCAGUGAGGGGGGUGAGGGGGGAUUGGGGUCCCAGUUUGGCACUGGGGGGGUUGGGACCCCCCAGCACCACCCCCAUCCCAAACUGCUUCCAAUAAAGUCAUCACUACCCCUGGUGAGGGGCUGCUUGGGGCACCCCAAGAGCCAACUGGGACCCCCCCAAAGAUAUUGGGGUGCCCCUCCCCUUUACCUGGCCCAGGUGAGUUGGGGGGGGACACACACAGACAACCCUCCCAACCCCCAUCCCUGAAUUCCUCCCCCCUCCCCAAAAAAAUUUUUAAAGCUCAACAUUUCAUUGAUUUGUUCCGAAGUUGUAAUUAAUUAAAGAGAAGAAAAAAAAACAACAAAAAAAAAUCAAACUUGGAAAAAAACCAUGGAAAAAAGGGGGGGGCAGAAAAGUUGGGGACCCCCCCAGCCCUCCCCUAUUUGGAUUUACUGUCCUUGUUCCCAGGAAUGUCUGAGAUUUGCUCCCAGGUGUUGCUGUGAAGGGGAUUUUGGUGGGGGGGAAGGAACUGAGAUGGGAAUGAAGGAAAUUCCCCAAAGAAAAUCCAGGGAAAAAAGCUGAAAUGUGCAGCUAAGGGGACCCCCCCAAUCCCAGCACACACAGAGAGGACCCCCCCUCAGUCACAGAGAGGUCAGAGGGGACACCCCAGAUCCCACAGGGAACAUUCCAGAUCCUGGGGGGACACAGAGGGGACACCUCAGAUCCCAGAGGGUCUCAGGGGACAUCCCAGAUUUGGGGGAGACAGAGGGGACUCCCCAGUUCCCAGAGGAGAACAUUCCAGAUCCGGGGGGGGGUCAGAGGCCCCUCCUCCCCCCGCUCCUCCUCGCUUCCAGCGCGAGGGAUUUUUGGGAUGGAGAAGAAGGAGAAGGGGGGGCGAUGGCAGCACUGGGGGGGUCCUGAGCCCCCAAAUCCCGAUGGGACAACAUGGAACAGACCAGGAUGGGGGGGAGAAAGGGGUAAAAAGGAGGGGAGAUGGCACAGAACGGGAAUUGUAAACGUGGCUGGGACCCCUGUCAGGAUCCCAGAGUUUUCCUCAGGAAUUCGCUCCCUUGGGGUGGCUCUUGCGGGGUCUCCGUGGGGGGAGCCCCCCCCGG
rnacentral:lncRNA from 1 species